GUUUUACAAGGCAGAGAUUGUGAUGCAGAAAGAAGAGAAAAGACUUUGGAAUGAGGCAGACAUGGGUACAAAUUAUUAACAGCUUUAUCUUUAACAGAUUUCUGAAUCUCUCCAAACAUCUGUUUUCUUCAUUCUGAAAUAAGGACAGAAAUUAAAGGGAUGUUGGGAAGCAAAGUAUCUGAUGCGGCUCACCAAGAGCUUCAGUGUUCAGAUGUCCUGGAUGUGAUGAGGCUAACAUUGACCUUCAGAACUGGAGACUAGCUCUUCUGGUCUAAUCUUCCACAUGGAUGGUGCCUACUUUGAUGACUUGUUACCCUAGUGCCUUUGAUCUCCACUGUAGAAAAUGCUCUGCUCCAUUUCAGAACAGAUUGCCAUGUGCCCCAUUCUCUGGCCUUUGGAGCAAACCAGCGACAGACCUCACAGAUAGAAAUCCACCAUUGCCCAUUCACAAAGAGAGUUCUCCUAGUAAGGGGAGUGAAUGUGAUGAUCCAUAUUUCCUGGAAAAUCUUCCUAGAGGCCUGAGAUGAUAAAUAUUGCCUGUUCCAGAACAGGUCAACUCUAGCCCAGUUUACCCUCAAGUGCUAUCUAGAAGAUGUCGUUUUACUGGUCCCAGUUUUUCACAUACUUCUCAACCAGUAAGGCCUCACCAGGCAGAGGCUCCCCAUUGACCCUUCACUGCUGGACUCGAUCUUUUCUCAAGCAUGCUUGGUUACAUCUUGGUCUAUGCCAACUAAAUAAGAUGUGUGGGUGUUCAAGGAUGGAAGUAUCCUAUCUUGCAUGGUUAGCUUGGGGAUGGUAUUCAGUCUUCUCCAUGUAAUUCUUAUCUUAGAUAUAGCUGGGAUUUUACACUUCUCAAUACAAUCUCAUCUACAUUAUCUAAUUUGAUUCUUGUACAAACUUGCUGUAAUAUGCUCUUAUUGUAGAUUCAUCAUUUAUCCACCAAACAGAAGUGAGCCAUGCUAAGCUAGAUAUUGAGGACACAGUUUUGAAGAAGUGAUGUUCUCUGCCUUCAAGGAGAUUAUAGGCCAGUGAAGAAUAAAGAUAUGUAAAUGAGCAAUUGUAUUAUAGGGAAAUAACUGCUAUAACAGGGCUCCAUGGGAAAGCAUAAGAGAGAUAACAAUGUUUUGAGACCCAGAAGGCACUGUUGAUGUAAACCACUUGGCCUUUACCAUAUCAGUGCAUGCUGUUCUAUCUUUCAACAACCAGCACCUUUAUCUCUUUACCUAAAAGGGCUUUCUUUGGUCAUCCAGGCUAUUCAUCCCUUGACCAAGGACAGGUAAGCGUUACUGUACAAAUACCCCAGCUGCCUUGCUCCUCAGAUGGGUGACUCUAGGUGCAUGCCCCAUACUGUUUUCUAUACUUUCCCAUUUGGAUCAACCAGUUUCCCACAGUGAUAACACUCAGUUAGCUUCUUGUCCUCCCUAUCUCACUUUGGCACUCUCUGUGUUUCCUGGGAUCACAUUCCAAAUAAACUACUUGAACUCUAAUCCAUAUCUUAAAAUCACCUUCUGGAAGGACCCAAUAAGAGGGGAAAAAAAUCAAUAAAGUAUCUUUUAAAGAUAAAGAAAAGAAUAUAUAUUUCUUUUUAGAAAAUACUCCUUCAUUCUUUAAUCCAUUCAUUCAUUUAAUAAAAUUUGAGUGCUUCCUAUAUACUAGAUGAGAGUUACUGAAUAUCUGGGAUGAAGAAAAUAGACAUAAUUUCUAACUUCAAGGGGGUUGUAGUCUAGUGGCAACAUGCAAAUAAAAAUAAAGAUAUGGGAAGAGUUUUUGAUAUCUUCGAUAAGGAAAACAAAGGAAAGCAGGGUAUUAGGAGUCAUUGUAAAACAAAUGAACCCCUCAUUUUAUAAAUGUGGACACUACAGAUGACAGAGGCUGCCUGACUAGCGUGGGGCAGAGCAGGGACAGGAAUGCAAGACUUUAUAUUCUAAUCCAGUUUUCUUCCUACCACACCAUAUCACAGUAUAGCAUAUCACAGAGAUACUAUAUCACAGUAUCUCUUAUUCAUUGGAAAGAUAUAAGAGAAGUGAACUAUUUAAGUCUUAUGACUAUUAAUUAUGUCCAGAAAUGUAUGUGAUAAGGUAGUAACCAAUGAUUUUUUAUUUCAAAUGAAGUUUAAGUUAACUAGAGGAAUAAGUGGCGAGGAAAUAAUUUUCUCCACUUCUCAACUGACCCUUAUGGGUCAAAUUCAGCACUCUUAACAUCAGUCUCUUAAAAAAAAAGAAGAAGAAAAAGAAUUCCUAUUUAUGUAGCUUUGGUGGAUUGGGAAAGCACAAGUGGUUCCAAAUGCUCACUACAUUCUAGUUUUUCACCCUUGAUCUCAGGACAGUAUUGUCUUAUAGUUCAGCUUUCUCCCUUGAUCUGGACUUGAUAUGUGAUGGGAGGAAUGUUUGGUCAUUUAUCUUGGACCAUGGUUUGGCAGCUGCUUCAUUCCUAGUCUUCAGUAGGUAUUUGCAAGGCAGAAGCCAAAUGGUUGAUUUGGGUCCUAAGCUGUCAUCUGAAUAAGCAAGAGGUAUCUUAAGGUGGUUCAAAUCCAAGUCCAGGCUCUUUAGUGUUAUCCUCCUCAAAAACAGAGCCUGCUCAUACUGCUAGAGCUUCCCUCAUGUUUGUUGCAGUAGUAUCAGGUGAUUCCCAAUAAUUUAUUUACUGCUAAACCAAAUUGAUAGAAGUAAGUUCUGAUUACUGGUCCAACUGAGGCAUUCUGGCAAUUGUCUUUUGGUAUAAGGUUGUCACUUUUGCUUUAUUAUCACAGUAUCUGUAAUUCGUAUAUAGGUACCAUGUGCUUUUCUUUCAUGUUCUCCUAAAUUAGAAAACUUUAAUAAAUGCUUUAUACAUCUCCAUCCCGAUAAAUAUUUAUCUUCCUCGGUUUUCUAGCAUCUUUUAUAUUUAUCCCCUUCCUUAUGCCUCUAGCAAUUAUGAAAUCCAUUAACUAUAAUUACAAAGCUCCAUCACAAUUUGGUACACACAGCAAUUAAUAUUCACCAUCUGUAAUCUUCUAAAUGAAUAUUUGUUUAUUUCAAUACUUCAGCUGCAACGUCUAAAAAUGAAGGUAAAUAAUUUGACAAGGACCUCAAAAGCCUUGAAUGUGUUCUUUCAACUGAGAAGUGUAUGACUUCUUAAAAUAUCUCAGGCUCUUUCUUUCAUAGAACUUAUAUGAAUGCCCUUAUUGAUUUUUCAUGAGACUAGAAAGAAAAAAGAUUUGGAUUACAGAAUUCUUGGCUAUUUUUAGAAAAGUAUUUAAAAAUCAAAAGAUGUAUUUUGAAAUUUUUUUUUGAAAAAGGGAAUGCUAUUAUGUUGUCAAUGAGAUCCCUAGUUAAUAACUGAGGCACUCAAGGUAAAAUCAUCAUCACCACCGUCAUCAAGUAAAAUCAUCAUCAUCAUCAUCAUUAUCGUCAUCAUCUAAGGAAUCUGAUAUACUAGUUCUAGUCCAAGUUCUUGUUUGAAAUGGAAACCAACACACCAACUCUAGGUAACUUAAGCAGAAAAAUAACAGUUUAUGGGAUCUGUAACAGCUCUCAGAUUCAAGCCAGAGAACCAGGCUCAGGCAGAAAAGAAGGAAGAAAAUGUGCCUCCAAAAUCUCUCCAAUGGACUUCGGGAUAUCACUGGACACUGGCUGCUGCUCUGUGGACUGUGCUGCCUCUGGCAUUCACUGCUAUGCCACUGGAUUCCCCAUAUUACAUUGAAAAUUUUCUGACUUUCUACCCAUUCCUCCUUUUUUUUCAUUCACAGGUCAAAUGUAGGUCACAGCUUCUGACUGACUGAGCUAAGUAAUAUUUCUAGAGUUUAGCUUCCAAGAGGCAAAGAACAGGACAUAUUUGAUGCUCCAUUUGCUUCAUUGUAGAAAGUGGAAUUCCAUCUCCUACCUAUCUUUGGGUGACCACAGUCCUGGUUUGCCAGAAUAAUCAAGAUUUAAGCCUGUUAUUCAGAUAUAAUGAUGAAUAGUGCUCCUCUCAUUCUAAAGUGUAGCCAGGUUUGGAUGACGUUAUAGAAUAAAUGUUUGUGUCUCCCCAAAAUUCAUACAUAUAAAUUCUAACCCUCAAUGUGUUAGUAUUAGGAGGUGGGGUCUUUGGGAGGUGAUUAGGUCAUGAGGGUGGAGCCCUCAUGAAUGGGAUUAGUACCAUUGAAAAAGAUCUUAGAGAGCUCUUCUCUUUUCUUCUGCCAUGUAAGGACACAGUUAGAAGACAGCCCUCAAUGAACUGGGAAGUGGGUUCUCAACAGACACCAAUUGUACCAGCACCUUGAUCUUGGACUUCUAGCCUCUAGAACUGUGAGAAAUAAAUGUUGUUUAAGCCACCCACUCUAUGAUAUUUUGUGGAUAGCAGCCUGAAUGGACUAAGACAGAGGAAAAACCAUAUACUUGCCCUACCUAUCCAAGGAUUUUCUCCCCUAUUAAAAGGGUAAUUAGAUGCUAGGAAAUCAGAUUUUAUAUUCCCUGUCUUUCACCAAGAUACCAAAUGAAAUCCAUGUUCCUCUAUUAUUUUUUCCAAGCCAACAGGGAUGGAGACAUGCUUUUCAGUGUCACUACCUCUUGAGGUACUUUCAAGUUUCAUCCCUUUGAGGAGAGCAAAAUGUCAAUGUAACUAAGUACAAAGAUUGGCUCUCUUCACAGUCAAGCAAUUCAUCUCAUUUAUAGGCAAUUUUGUUAUUAAUGGGCCACAAAAGUAGAGAACAUAUGGACCACUAAAUCCUCCCAUACAAAGUCUUAUAAGAUAAAUUAAUCACACAUGCGUCUACUGUUAAGUAACAACAUUUAUUUGUGUGCCCAAAGCAAGAUGUGGUCAGAUAUGAAAAAUUGCUGGAGACAGUAGCUAGAAUCAUUGACGAUUUAUGCUAAUGUGAGCCUAAUAGGGUCAAAAGGUAAAAGGAAUUUCUUUCCCUCCACCUACAAUUGUAAUGAUAACCAAGAUAAACCACUUACCAUCACAGUCUAUAGUGACAUCUCUUUCUCUUUUCCUGAUUUUUCUAGCCUUCUAUCUGGGGCAUUCACUGACUAUUGUCACCCACUUGUUCUUUCUAGAUGACAGAUUCUCUGAUGGUCCAGACCACAUAUGUUGGGUAUGCUUUGCAGAAGGAGACCAUGCCCUGAUCAUCUUUGUUUCUCCAGUUGUAGUUGAUGUAGUGCUUUGUAUGCAGCAGGCUUUCAAAAGUCAUAUAUAACACUAUAAUUAAAAUUUAACAACAUGGAGUGCCAUACAGAUAAAAAACCUCAGAAUGUGUGUUGAAUGAGCAUGAUUCUGAGGAUAAAGAACCGUUUGGAAAUUACAUAAGUUUCUGAAUGUAGGGUCCUCAGGAUCUUAUAAGCUAAGUUCCACCAAGAAAUAGAUUAAGAAACUUGGGAGAUUUGUUCACACGUUACGCUGCCAAUAUAACACAAUGCAGAGGGAGGAGAACAGUCUUCUUCCCAAAGAGCAUUACUAGCCACCUAGAAGUUGCUGUUCUAAAUUUACUUUAAUGACAUUAGAUCUUAUGAAUUUGAUUAUCAAGGGCUAGAAAUUGUGGUCAUUAUGAUUUAUCCUGGUAUUUUAGUUCCCUGAGAUGAGUUUGGGUUCUUCAUCAUGGAGAAGUAAUAGACCGAAAAUAGAUGCCUCCAAAGAGAUCAUACUAGGCGAGCUUUUUCAAAGGGGAAAUUGUUUUUGCUUGGAGAAAUGUUCUCACCAUUUUACUUUUUUUGAUUAUUUUUUCACACCUUAUUUCACAUAGGAAGACAUUUUCUUUAAUUACCGUAAUCAAGUUUGCAGCUCAUAGGAAGUGACUCAAAGGAAAAAGGUGUAGACUCCUGUGAGCUGAUAACAUAGAAGCUGGUGACCACACAGGAAGGCCUUCAACCUGGAAACACAAUGUCAGUUUUGUGCCAGGAUUCCACAACCAAUUAAAAGGCACUGGAUUCCCUUAAAUUUAUAUGACUUCAUGAAAUCACUUUCAAGUAAGAAUUUCAAUAUGCACUACCUGUAUGAAAUUCACUGAUAUGUCAUUAUAGUGAUGAAAUGCACACGUGAUGAAAUGCACACUUUUCCUAGUGUGGAGUUUGAAAUGAAGAUGUGGGUAUUUGUUCAUUCAUUCAGCAAGUAUGUAUUGGGUGUUUACUCUGUGAAAAAUGUUGUUCUAGGGUCUAGAGAUAUAAAAUUGAACAAAACAGUGUUCUUUUUCAGUCCCGGGAUAUUAGGAUAAUGUUGAGAGGAUGGAGAAGAAGAUGGAUAAUAAGAUGAACAAAUACAUAUAUAAUACUAAAAUGUUAUAAUAUAAAUAUAUAAUAUCAGAUCAUUAUGAAAGCAUUGAAAAACCUGAAUCAGGGAGAGGAAUAAGACACUGCCAGUGAGGUCAGGGAUUUUAACGUGAAAUGGGUGACUAGGUAAUCGUUUUGAAGAGAUAUUAUGUGAUCAGAGGUCAGAUGUAGAUUUGGUGAGACAGAGGCCAUGUGGGUAAGUGAGAGUAGGAUUUUCCACACAGAGAAGUCUUUGAAUUUGCUGUCCUAAGGAAUAUCAUCUUUGAAGAGAAGGGAAGGGGCUCAGACAGUGAGAGUGAGUGGUAGAAGAUGAGGUAAGAAAGUUACCAAGGACCAGAUCAUGUGCUUCUGUUGGCCUUGAUUAGAUCUCUGGAUUUUAUUCCAAAUGUUUAUACUCUGUAUGUAAGCGUGAGAUCUCUGAGUCACCAACUUCUAUGUUGUAGCAACUACUUCUAUCUCCUUUCUUUUUCUCCUUUCCCUUCCUUUUUCAAAGGUACCAUGCUUGAGGUCUUCUUUCACACCUUCUUUUUACACAGAAAGGAAAAAGACCCAACAUUUAUUGAUAAUGUGCCAGCCACUGCACAAAGAAUAUUGCCAUUUGAUCUUUACAGCUAUCUUCUGAGAUUGAGCUCAGGUUAAUUAACUUGUCACACAGUAAGUGGGAGAGCUGAUUCCAGUUUAGGGCUGUUUGGCCAAAAAUUCGGUGCCCAUUCUACUCUGCCACGUUGCCAGCUAGAUGCUCCCUGACUCAACGAUGAAGUGGACCCUCCUUCCUCUUAUCUGAAAACUGUGUGGUGGACUUUACCUUAUAUUCCAAGCUGUCUGAAAGGUUGAACUCAAACUCAUGUAAUAAAGCCAGCAGGACUAUCUGCUAGUCAUUUCCAGUCUUUGCUAUGGGAUCCUCACUUUCUUUGUUGACUGCCACAGGGGAAAAUCUAAAGUUAUUUGUGAGAGUUGGACCUUCUAGGUACUGGAGAAGAAAGCAUCCACCCAAGAAAGUUAACUUAUCCUGUGGUCUCUCCAUUCAUGUGGUUCCUAUUGAUAGCUGGAAGUAAUGUGGCCAUGAAUGGAAUUGAGAAAUCUGCCUUCAAUAAGACAAAAAUAAAUAAGCCAAACCAUGGAAUUUCAAGGCAUUUAUACCAUGUCUGAGGUUCAAGUUUGCUUUGCAGACCAGGAUGGAUUUUGGAGAGGGAAUAUUAUUCUUGGGAGACAGAAAAAUUGCAACUUGCCAGUUGAUUGACCUCCAUAUGUUCUCUACUCUGCGUUCCACAUUGACUGUGUGCUACACUGUGCGUGUAGAGAUUGCUGACUAUUUACAAGACACUGUUCCAUAUUGGAGACACUUGUGAGCAAAUUUGACAUGUCUGCUUCCUCCUGUCUUUUCUUCUACGUCAUACUCAUUGUGAGUAAUUACGAACAUCCAUAUGGGGGAGCCACUUUGAAGUUCUGCACAAAAACAACACAUGACCCUAAAGAUGAAAAAAAUAACUUCCUUCCAUCACAAAGAGUUCGCGUUUUCCUCUACAUUCUAUUUUGUGAAAAGGAAAUGAGGACUUGAGUGAAUCUUAAGGUUUUUUUUCUCCAAAAUAUGGAUAUUAAAUCAGAAACCAAACAAGAAGCAAAGAACAAAAGCCACAGCAACGCAACAGCAACAAAAAAAACGAGGAGUCUUCUGGUUCAAUCCAACGCAGUAACCUGUAUGAUAGGUAACAAUGGUAAUUAUUCCAUAUAUACUCUUUCUAUUAAUAGAAGAAAUGCAAAGAGGAAGAAGUGGACAUCCACUGGCUUCCCUUUAGCUAUUGUGGCCGUCUAUAAAAAGAGAAUUGGAGAAGAGAAUAAUUAUCUCCUUAUUUGGUUCAGGUAAACAGUCAUUUUUUAUUUUCAUAAAGACACUACAAAACAAAAGGCAUUAUUGCAGAAAACUUGGGGUUGUUACUAAAUUAUCAGAUAAUCUCUUCUACUCUACUUUGCUAUUGAUGAAUGUUUUACCUAUUGUCCCCAAUAAUUGUGUAUGGCUAUGUUCCAAAGGAAAUAAAAAUAAUAUUCGGCUUAUGCAUGCUUUUUAUUAGCCAUAUUCUAAGAAGAUUUUUUUUUCCAAAACAAGUUUAGUAGUCAUGCUUUCUAUUUUUAAUUUGUAUUUAACACUCCAUUUCAGUUCUCACCAUUCAUGUGCUCUGUGUUUACCUGCUUCACUUAGACAGGUCUGUUGCCCUUUCUGUUUUAUAGAAAACGUUGCCACCUGUUCCCAAUGCCAUAACAGCCUGCCAUGGGGUUUAGGUUUACAGCAAUACUCACAAAUUUUCCGGGGCGGGGGGGGAGGUGGCAAAGAAAGUAAAGAAAAAGAAAAAAAAAAUGAACUAUGCCAAAUGAAAUUCAAGUUAACUAAGGGAAAAUUCUCAAGUUAGCAAAGCAUUUUUAUUACACACUGUAAAAUGAAGCUUGAAUUUCCUAAAAAUGUAUUUGUUGCUAUAUCUACUAUUAAUAUUAUUAAGUCUUUUUCUCUUUACAGAGUGCUUGGUCUUUGAGAGUUUUACGUUGACGUCACCUGCAUUAGUGAGAUCAGUCUAGAAAAAGCAGCAUUAAGACCAUUUUACAUUAAAAAGAAACCAACUCAAUUGAAACAUUUCACCAAAAAGAUACAUGAAAAGAUUCUCAAUAUCAUUAUUCACUGGGGAAAUGCAAAUUUCAGCCACAGUGAGAUACUAUUUUACAUCCCAGGAGGGUGAUAGUAAAAAAAAAAAUAGACAAUAAUAAUUGUUGAGGAUAUAGAGAAAUGGGUACUCUCAUACAUCUCCGGUGGAAAUGUAAGAUGGUUCAACACUUUGGGAAACAGUUGGGCAGUUUCUUAACAAGUUAAACAUAAAUUUACCUCAUAACCCAGAAAUUCUACUCCUAGGUAUCAACCCAAGAGAAAUGAAAACUUAUGACCACACAAAAACACAUAUAAGGAUGUUCAUAGCAGCAUUAUUCAUAAUAGGCAAAACAUGGAAACAUUCAAGUGUCCAUUAACUAAUGAAGGACUAAAUAAAACAUGAUAUUUCUACACAAUGGAAUACUACUUGGCAGUAAUAA
rnacentral:lncRNA from 1 species